rnacentral:rRNA from 1 species
AUUGAACGCUGGCGGCAGGCUUAACACAUGCAAGUCGAGCGGAGAUGAGGUGCUUGCACCUUAUCUUAGCGGCGGACGGGUGAGUAAUGCUUAGGAAUCUGCCUAUUAGUGGGGGACAACAUUCCGAAAGGAAUGCUAAUACCGCAUACGUCCUACGGGAGAAAGCAGGGGAUCUUCGGACCUUGCGCUAAUAGAUGAGCCUAAGUCGGAUUAGCUAGUUGGUGGGGUAAAGGCCUACCAAGGCGACGAUCUGUAGCGGGUCUGAGAGGAUGAUCCGCCACACUGGGACUGAGACACGGCCCAGACUCCUACGGGAGGCAGCAGUGGGGAAUAUUGGACAAUGGGGGAAACCCUGAUCCAGCCACGCCGCGUGUGUGAAGAAGGCCUUAUGGUUGUAAAGCACUUUAAGCGAGGAGGAGGCUACUGAGACUAAUACUCUUGGAUAGUGGACGUUACUCGCAGAAUAAGCACCGGCUAACCCUGUGCCAGCAGCCGCCGUAA